UUCAACUUAUAGACAUAUAUAUUCAGUUAUUGUUGUGUAACAUAGAGUUACCCUGGAUGUAAAUGCUCCUUCUCGUGUAUUUCAGUUCAACAAUUGGUGGUUCUUCAGGUCACUAUAGCGUGCAUUUUCAGUACAUCUUCCAGGUUAAGGAGCUUCCCUUCAGUUAAUUUUGUUUAUGUAGAAAAAAGAUUGUGUCAAAAAAUUGAAGGCAUCAGUUCAAAAGGGUAUAAGGCUGAGAGGAAGUGGUCUCAGAUCACAAAAUUUCCUCUAAGAAAAAAUAGCCACAAACAGGUUGAGUUCACUACACAGAAUCUGUGAGUUCAAAUCAGAAACAAGCUCAUUGUUACAACUGGAGGAAUUCACAAAGGAAAAAAAAUCGAGAAUUAAAAGAAAACUUGUAGAAGUUUGUUGUAUGCAAUUCUGAAAGUUCGAAGUCAGGAAACCGAUAAGUUCAGAUAAAAGUAAAACUGUCAAAAAACAUGAGAGUUUUGUGCUUUGAAGUUGUAGUCGUAGAUGCUUUGAAGACCGUCGUCUCCGUGCUGCCGCUUCUCAGCAUCGGCCCCACGAGCUGCUAACUAUCCCUAGUGCACCAUCCUCAGUCCAAUCCCAUGGCAUUAGGGUGGCCGAGUUCGUCGCUGGCAGCAGUUCGGAUCCGUUUGCCGCCGCCCGCCUGGACUUGCGCACGCGUUGCCGCCCAUCAGCUCCCCUUCUCGCCUCCCCGCCACUGAACGCCACCAGCUCCCCACGCGCCCCCCAUCCCCUGGCUGCACGAGCCGAUGCGCCACAGCCAUUGCGCAUGCUGCCUCGCGCAGAUGGGCUGGCUCCGGUGCCCACGCCCGGGAUGCUUCCGCCGUCAGGACCCAACGGCCACACAACACCUCUGGAACCCCACUGUUUCUAGCUCACCGCGGCCACCUCAGGCCGUUCACCGCUGCAACAUGAGGCCGUUCAACGACGUAGCACUCAGGUCGUCCACCUCUGCCACUCCCGUGUACUCCCUCCCAUCCUGUCUCUUAUCUCAAUACUACUCUUUCUCUGUUCCAUCUUUUUUAAGAAGUGCUCUGUACCAACACUUGAACUGCUGAUGAUGCAUCCUCUCUCACGAUGUGAUGUUGCUCCUCUCUCCCUCAUAGCUACAACAUGGACAAAAACAAGCUGAUGGAUGAAAAAAAUGAUUUUAUCAAUAAUUGCUGCUGUGACCUCGUACCUACGACAUGGACAAAGCCUAGUUGAUGGACAAACUCUUGAACUGAUAGCUGAUGGUUUGUGAAUGGUCUCGGGUGCCCGUGGUGAACGUAAUACACAUUGAAAAACAUGGAUUAAAACCUGCAGCGGCAUGUCCAAGAAUUGGUUUCUGAUACUGAUACUGUGGGUUUUCCAAGGCAAAAACUUUAGUUUCCUUCAAUUUCUAAUUGUAGUUCAGUUCAAUUUCUAAUUUAGUUCAGUUCAAUAUUCUAAUUUUAGUUCAGUUAAAUUCUUAUUUUAGUCUAUAUUUUUUUGCUUCCAUCUAGUCUGUAUCAAAGUUUUUCUUGUGCCAUGCAUCACUCUUCAAAUCAAACAUUUGCUGUUGCUAGAUAACAAAAAAGAGUAUUGUUAAAUUUAGUAACAACUUACUGGUGGAGUUGUUUCUACCAAGAAACUCAUGGAAUUUAUACUAGAGUUGCCGAUACUACAAAUGCUACUACAUAUUACUGCAAACUGACUAUCUCACCUUUGCUAUAUUUGUGCAGACUCUUGGACUUUCACAUGCUCUGCCUUCAUUCAUGUAGAUCUGCAACCCUAAUGUUGGUUUAGUGGUGAGUGCCAACCUAAACAUAGUUCUUGUGAUGAAAAAUGCCCUGCAACAGCAUAAGAUCCAUUUCAUCAUAGUAUUGGUGCUAGAUACUUUUACACAUAAUUCAUACUAAACUGUAAGUAAUCUCUGAAGCACUCUGUGCAGGAAAUUGUCUCAUGAGUUGUGUGUAGCGUUUGUGCCUGGUGGGUGUUCAUAUAAAUCCCUAGGUGGCCACUGUUGGCCAGUUUUGUGUGCUGCAAAUUAUUAGUAUGGCAGAGGAUUUUUUUUUCUUAUUUUGCUGCACAACCAUGGAAGUUUAGAAUACAUUAGCAGUCUAUGUGCGUCCAACAGAGGUGAUUUUUUGUGCUAGAUUAAUGCAAGCCUUUUUUUGUGCUACUUAGUAGUUUAUGUAAAUGCUAGUGAGAUGAAUAGCUAUAGAAGUGGUUUGUGCUGAUAAUACACGGCUCAUAUUUUUCUUAACGGAUACUUAUGCAGAACGCUCGAGCCACAACAGCUCCUAGGCCGUUCACCGUCAGCACCAUAGUCCGUUCACCGCCGACACCCAAGGCCGUUCACCGACGCAACGAUGAGGUCUGGCCAUCGUCACCCACGACCGUGCACUCACAUCUCUCCAGCUUAAAGUAGUGUCCUCUAGCUGCAGGACGCGUUCUCCUCCAGCUGCAGGCCAAUGCUAUGGUGCACAUUCAAGGCAGCAUGCAGACCACAGGUCGCAGCGCCGCCGUCGACCACAUGUGCGCAUGCGUGCGAUUAUUGCAUGUGUGCGUUAGGUAUGCAUCUCAAUGCCUCCGCCCUUCCUCUUUCCACGUAGCAUAUUCUGAAGAAAAAAAAUAGAUGCUUUCAACUAAAUAAAAAAAUGCGUCGCACAAGUUCAGGUACAACCGCUGCAGGACUUCAGAAAUCUGAACAAACAAAGCUCAAACCAAAAGCUAAUGUGCGUGUCAUGUCCAAACAAAGCUCAAGCUACAUGCACCAGGUUGCCCUUUUUUUUAUACAGUUCAAUAUCUAAAAUCCGUUCAGUUUAAUUAUUAUGCAUCGCCCUGGCAACACAUUGCGCAGCCACCGACCUCCUCUUGUUGGGUCACACCACCACCGGCCGGUCCACAAUGGUUGCUGGUAGCCGUCCAAGUUCAGAGCUGAUGGUAGUCCCCUGCAUGCGUCAACGACACUCUCACGGUAGUCUUUCUCUCGCACUUUGCUCCUGCUAUUAAAAUGCGUACAUGUGUUCUGCUAAUUGAGUAGUUGGGAAGAUGUGAAAAAGAACAAGCUCUUUAGGUGUUCAGUACAAUUUAUUAUUUUAAUUCAGUUCAAAAAACCUUAUUUUAUAACCCUGUAAUAUACAUGGUUGGCAAAAAGAUGGCUAUAGUUGUUAUAGCAAAAACAGUACAACUUUCUAAAAGUUUAUUUUUUGAACUUCUCCCAAUUAAUAUACUGAACUUGAUUAUCUUUUUAACAGUACUUGCAUGAGCUCGUUGGAAUUUGUGCGUGUGCUUGUAACACAAUCAGUUCAGAUCUCGAGAGACCAUAAGUUUGUUGACAAAUAUGUAUAUUAGUUCAGAUCUUGAGAGACCAUAAUUUUGUAAGGUCAGAAAAAGCAAUGGCUCAGUACAUCAAAAUUUUGUAUAAUUGCUGCUUUUGAUGUCUUGUAGUGCAGAGAAGGCUUAAAAAAUCAUGUUUCUCUAGCUGAAAUGUUUGAUGCUAUGUAGGUUCUUGUUAGGACUCAGGGCAUGAGCUCGUCCAGCAGGGGUGCUGGCAGCCGUCCAAGUGGAGCGUUGACACCAGUACAAGUAGAAUCGCGGGUCAUGGCCACCAACUUCAUCAAGUGCUGCACAUCCGUCCAAGUCGAGCACGCUCUGGGAGAACACCAGCGCCUUUGCUUUGCACAUUGCUUGGUCAUGCAUGAUUGCUGAUGGAUGUAGCAAGCGUUUUAUUAGUUUGAUCUUCUGUAUUUUGUCUCAGUUUUCGUGGAUGCUAGCCGGCAAGUGACAUGAUUUUGGUUGCUUCUCUCUGUAGCAGAUUCCAUCCGCACAAAAAAUGCUACUUCGGUUUGUUCUAUGUAAAAAAUGAAUAAGGUUCAAUUCACAAAAAAUGUGGAUGUUUGCUUGGGAAAUUCUGCAGUACAUUUGAUUACACCAAGAUGUACAGAAUGACUAAUUCUUUAUUGUGUGCCUUCAGCACAAUUUAAAAUUACUAGUUGACCAUAUGUAUAAUGGGUUUUCUUUGUCUACAGAAAAACUAAUAUGUGAGGAUAUCUCAGGUUUCUGUGUGAACUUGUAGUGUGUUACUAUACAUGUACUUGUAUGUAAGGAAU
rnacentral:lncRNA from 1 species